rnacentral:lncRNA from 1 species
UGGCAGAGUGUAAUGCUGUCCGCCAGGCUCUACAGGACCUGCUCUCAGAAUACAUGGGCAACGUAAGUGCCAAAACCUCUCUUGGAACUAAGAUGGCUGAGGAAUUUGUUUUUAUGACUGAUGGUACCCCCUCAUAUAUCCAUCCAUCCAUCCAUCCAUCCAUUCAUUCAUUCAUUCAUUCAUUCAUUGUGUGGGUGCUUUAUCUGCAUUGGGUACUGGGGAGAAGUUUUGGUUGGUAAAGUCUUGCCAUACAAGCAUGAUGACUUGGAUUCAGGUUUUUAGCUUCGUUUUUAAGAAGCUAAGCAAUAUGGUGCUUAUAAUCCCAGAGCUAUAAUCCCAGAGCCGGUGGAGGCAGGUGGACAGGUACCUGGGUCUUGGCCAGUGAGUCUAGUCAAGUCUUUGAGUUCCUGGCUCAGUAAGAGACUUGUCUAAAAAGAUAAUAUGGAGAACAACUGAGGAAGACACUAGAGGCUUCCUCACACACACGUGCACAUGUGUACACAUGUACAUAAGAAAAAAUAUCAG